GACCUGCCCUCCACUCUGGGAUAAGCCUGGGAAACUGGGUCUAAUACCGGAUAUGACUUCAUGCCGCAUGGUGUGGGGUGGAAAGCUUUAUGUGGUGGGGGAUGGACCCGCGGCCUAUCAGCUUGUUGGUGGGGUAAUGGCCUACCAAGGCGACGACGGGUAGCCGGCCUGAGAGGGCGACCGGCCACACUGGGACUGAGACACGGCCCAGACUCCUACGGGAGGCAGCAGUGGGGAAUAUUGCACAAUGGGCGAAAGCCUGAUGCAGCGACGCCGCGUGAGG
rnacentral:rRNA from 1 species